rnacentral:rRNA from 1 species
AUUGAACGCUGGCGGCAUGCCUUACGCAUGCAAGUCGAACGGCAGCACGGGUGCUUGCACCUGGUGGCGAGUGGCGAACGGGUGAGUAAUACAUCGGAACGUACCUUAUCGUGGGGGAUAACGCAGCGAAAGCUGUGCUAAUACCGCAUACGCCCUGAGGGGGAAAGCGGGGGAUCGCAAGACCUCGCGCGAUUAGAGCGGCCGAUGCCUGAUUAGCUAGUUGGUGGGGGAAAAGCCCACCAAGGCGACGAUCAGUAGCUGGUCUGAGAGGACGAUCAGCCACACUGGGACUGAGACACGGCCCAGACUCCUACGGGAGGCAGCAGUGGGGAAUUUUGGACAAUGGGGGCAACCCUGAUCCAGCAAUGCCGCGUGAGUGAAGAAGGCCUUCGGGUUGUAAAGCUCUUUUGUCAGGGAAGAAACACCGGCUCUAACACAGUCCGGGAAUGACGGUACCUGAAGAAUAAGCACCGGCUAACUACGUGCCAGCAGCCGCGGUAA